UUCUGUUGUAAUUAGCAAUUAUACCGUGAACUGCGAAUGGCUCAUUAAAUCAGUUAUCGUUUAUUUGAUAAUACCUUACUACUUGGAUAACCGUGGUAAUUCUAGAGCUAAUACAUGCUGAAAAUCCCGACUUCGGAAGGGAUGUGUUUAUUAGAUAAAAAACCAAUGCCCUUCGGGGCUCUUUGGUGAUUCAUGAUAACUUUACGGAUCGCAUAGCCUUGCGCUGGCGACGGUUCAUUCAAAUUUCUGCCCUAUCAACUUUCGAUGGUAAGGUAUUGGCUUACCAUGGUUUCAACGGGUAACGGGGAAUUAGGGUUCGAUUCCGGAGAGGGAGCCUGAGAAACGGCUACCACAUCCAAGGAAGGCAGCAGGCGCGCAAAUUACCCAAUCCCGACACGGGGAGGUAGUGACAAUAAAUACUGAUACAGGGCUCUUUUGGGUCUUGUAAUUGGAAUGAGUACAAUUUAAACCUCUUAACGAGGAACAAUUGGAGGGCAAGUCUGGUGCCAGCAGCCGCGGUAAUUCCAGCUCCAAUAGCGUAUAUUAAAGUUGUUGCAGUUAAAAAGCUCGUAGUUGAAACUUGGGCCUGGCUGGCGGGUCCGCCUCACCGCGUGCACUCGUCCGGCCGGGCCUUCCUUCUGAAGAACCUCAUGCCCUUCACUGGGCGUGUUGGGGAAUCAGGACUUUUACUUUGAAAAAAUUAGAGUGUUCAAAGCAGCCUUUGCUCGAAUACGUUAGCAUGGAAUAAUAAAAUAGGGCGUGCGUUUCUAUUUUGUUGGUUUCUAGAGACGCCGCAAUGAUUAACAGGAACAGUCGGGGGCAUCAGUAUUCAGUUGUCAGAGGUGAAAUUCUUGGAUUUACUGAAGACUAACUACUGCGAAAGCAUUUGCCAAGGAUGUUUUUCAUUAAUCAGUGACGAAAGUUAGGGGAUCGAAGACGAUCAGAAUACCGUCGUAGUCUUAACCGUAAACUAUGCCGGACUAGGGAUCGGGCGA
rnacentral:rRNA from 1 species